rnacentral:rRNA from 1 species
AUUAGAUACCCUGGUAGUCCACGCAGUAAACGAUGAAUGCUUGCUGUCCGGGGGGACUGACCCCUGGGGGGCGCAGCGAAAGCGAUAAGCAUUCCACCUGGGGAGUACGCCGGCAACGGUGAAACUCAAAGGAAUUGACGGGGGCCCGCACAAGCGGAGGAACAUGUGGUUUAAUUCGAUGAUACGCGAGGAACCUUACCCGGGCUCAAACGGGAGAUGACUCGGCCAGAGACGGCCGUUUCCGCAAGGACAUCUUCCGAGGUGCUGCAUGGUUGUCGUCAGCUCGUGCCGUGAGGUGUCGGCUUAAGUGCCAUAACGAGCGCAACCCCCGCGGGCAGUUGCUAACAGGUCAAGCUGAGGACUCUGCCCGGACUGCCGGCGCAAGCCGUGAGGAAGGCGGGGAUGACGUCAAAUCAGCACGGCCCUUACGUCCGGGGCGACACACGUGUUACAAUGGCAGGCACAGAGAGAAGCGACAUGGCGACAUGAAGCGGAACUGUCAAAACCUGUCUCAGUUCGGAUUGGAGUCUGCAACCCGACUCCAUGAAGCUGGAUUCGCUAGUAAUCGCGCAUCAGCCACGGCGCGGUGAAUACGUUCCCGGGCCUUGUACACACCGCCCGUCAAGCCAUGGAAGCCGGGAGUGCCUGAAGUGUGCAACCGCAAGGAGCGCCCUAAGGUAAAACCGGUGACUGGGGCUAAGUCGUAACAAGGUAAC